AUUGAACGCUGGCGGCAUGCUUUACACAUGCAAGUCGAACGGUAACAGGGAGCUUGCUCCGCUGACGAGUGGCGAACGGGUGAGUAAUAUAUCGGAACGUACCCAAGAGUGGGGGAUAACGUAGCGAAAGUUACGCUAAUACCGCAUACGAUCCAAGGAUGAAAGCAGGGGACCUUCGGGCCUUGUGCUCCUGGAGCGGCCGAUAUCUGAUUAGCUAGUUGGUGAGGUAAAGGCUCACCAAGGCGACGAUCAGUAGCUGGUCUGAGAGGACGACCAGCCACACUGGAACUGAGACACGGUCCAGACUCCUACGGGAGGCAGCAGUGGGGAAUUUUGGACAAUGGGCGCAAGCCUGAUCCAGCAAUGCCGCGUGAGUGAAGAAGGCCUUCGGGUUGUAAAGCUCUUUUGUCAGGGAAGAAACGGGAGUGGCUAAUAUCCACUCCUAAUGACGGUACCUGAAGAAUAAGCACCGGCUAACUACGUGCCAGCCGCCGCGGUAACAC
rnacentral:rRNA from 1 species